GGCUUCGUGGUCGAGUGGUAAGGAUACUUGCCUCUCACUCUGUUGUCCCGGGUUCCAUUCCCGGUUGAGGAGCUA